AUUGAACGCUGGCGGCAGGCCUAACACAUGCAAGUCGAGCGAGCGGCGGACGGGUGAGUAAUGUCUGGGAAACUGCCUGAGGGGGGGGGGUAAAUACUGGAAACGGUAUCUAAUACCGCAUACCAUCAGAUGUGCCCAGAUGGGGUUAGCUAGUGGGGGGGGUAACGGCUCACCUCGGCGACGAUCCCUAGCGGGUCUGAGAGGAUGACCAGCCACACUGGAACUGAGACACGGUCCAGACUCCUACGGGAGGCAGCAGUGGGGAAUAUUGCACAAUGGGCGCAAGCCUGAUACAGCCAUGCCGCGUGUGUGAAGAAGGCCUUCGGGUUGUAAAGCACUUUCAGCGGGGAGGCGUUACCCGCAGAAGAAGCACCGGCUAACUCCGUGCCAGCAGCCGCGGUAAUUC
rnacentral:rRNA from 1 species